ensembl:ncRNA C06E4.16 ncRNA
GUUUUCUAGCCACUUUUUCGUGUCUGUAUCCGGAACCGAAGUGCAUCAAAAGGCUGUCAGAAAGCCGUCUCAUUUGACAUUCAUACCCAUAACAUGUAAUGGGUUUUCCCCGUUUUUUAUGUUAUGAUGGAGUGAUGAUGUUGACAAAAGC